AUAGCAACCAACGAUCAUCACGUCGUUGUCAAAUCUUUUGCAGGACCAAAAUUAUAGAUAAUUAAUUAAUAUGAAUCAGUGAGAAGAUAUUUAGUUAUUGAAGAGAAAAAAAUGUUGAAAUCUGAAGCUAUCAUUGGUUCAUCAAGUUCUUCUAAAGAGUGUAAUAUGCGAGAAAAGAUGGACCAAAAAUUUCAUCGAAAUAGAAGCUACGGAAGUUAAGUUUGCGUCUAGAAGAAUAUCGAACCAACGAAUUGGAAAAUUAUAAAGCAGCAAGGAUCAUCAGGAUGAGAAUAACAAGAAAACAUUACACCAUUGACAUGGACCCCAUGUUUAUAUAAAUAACCUCUGAUGGGUAGUGUUAGUGCUUCCAUAAAUGAAAGAAGCGGAUCGAACCCCAAUCAUCAAACAGACUCUGUGACCCCACGAAACGACAAACAUUUCAACCCUCGGAGGAUGCAACUACAACAAUGGAUGACGUAACGUUUUCCAAAGUCAUAUUACCCAAAGGAUGCUAAUACCCUAAUCAUCAAAGGAAUUAAGAAGCUUCCCAAGUAAGAAAGGACGAACCCCUAAUCAUCGUAUUUUUAAAAUCUUCAUAGGAGAAGAAAAUCAUUUGAUUACGUGUAUAGUGUGAAAGUCUUCCUAGAGAAAAUCAUUGGUUUAGUGUUGUGAUCAAGUGUUGAAAGUGUUAAUCGAAAGGUUUGAAAAUCUUCUUAGAAUGAGAAAAUGUGUUGUGAUCAAGUGUUGGAAAGGUUUGAAAAUCUUCUUACGAGAAAAUGUGUUGUGAUAAGAAAGUGAAGUCAACAAAUUUAAAUAGGUCAAUAAAAGUGUUUAGUGUGUGAAAAUUAAAUUCAGUGAAAAAUAUUGUGAAAUUAUUUUCAAGAAAGUUUUGUGUGUUAAAGAAAAAUUACACAUUGUACCAUGGGAAAGAGAUAAAUCUGCAACAGAAGGAAGUAGCCGCUGCAGAGUCAUUGCUACAUCAAAAUGAUUAUAUAUCUACAAUCGGAAAGGCAACAAAACAAUGGUCCAAUGACUCUUCAGGACUUCUGUUUCCAUGUCCAUAGGCUUGCAAAUCGUCCCGUUAACAAGAAUAUAAAUCCUUGUCAAGAACAAAUUAAAGUGGUGGAAUGCUUUUACAUAUGUGCUUCGACUUAUUCAAUUUUUUUUGCGGAUUUAACAAAAGUAAAACUGCAAACGAUUUUGAGGGUAUUUAAAUAUUAUUUGUCCCUAAUAUUUAUGACCUGAAAAAUUUGUUAUUUCGGGAGUGUUCGAAUUUAUCUUAAACCGCGAUCGACUUAUAUUUCCCAAGUUUUUAAAGUUUAUUAAAAUUCAUUUUAUGAUUCUAACGUGUAACGCAGUAUUUAAUCAGUGUGCUACGGGAGUGUUCGAAAUUCUUAAAAUCAAGUGUGAGUGUUUUUUUCUCAAAGUGAAAUGUGCAACUCCAGGAUAAAAAUCAAGAAAUUAUAUGCUGCCGUCGCUUUACGUCGAAGGAAUCUG